AGGCAUGUUUUUCAUACCACUGUUGAGCUGACGUUCGACAAGACAAGGUGGAAGCACGUGCAUCAACCGAAGAGGCGAAGACAACUGGGUGCAGCGUCGGGCCCCCUAUGCAACCACAGCAAAACUACAGUGCCUGCGCAGGCAGCGGCUGACCACUUAGAACGGGUUAUUGUGUGGGAGAAUAUCCUUGUGCGUGCAACCAAGGGGAAAUGGUGCUCCGUCAAGAGGAGAGAGGGGAAAUGCGGAAGCACAGCUUAUGAAUGACAAGACUGAAAGAUGGAAAGAAAGAUAAAUUUAUAUUUACUCAUAUGAUAUCCACCUAACAAAGGUGGGGGCGUUGCGGCGCAUAUUAAAUAUGGCAGCUCCCACUACGCUUGUAUGAUUCGUCCAUGCUCAU